AAUGAACGCUGGCGGCAGGCCUAACACGUGCAAGUCGAACGGAUCCUUCGGGAUUAGUGGCGGACGGGUGAGUAACGCGUGGGAACAUACCCAAAGGUACGGAAUAGCCUCGGGAAACUGGGAGUAAUACCGUAUGUGCUCGAAAGAGGAAAGAUUUAUCGCCUUUGGAUUGGCCCGCGUUGGAUUAGGUAGUUGGUGGGGUAAUGGCCUACCAAGCCGACGAUCCAUAGCUGGUUUGAGAGGAUGAUCAGCCACACUGGGACUGAGACACGGCCCAGACUCCUACGGGAGGCAGCAGUGGGGAAUCUUAGACAAUGGGGGAAACCCUGAUCUAGCCAUGCCGCGUGAUCGAUGAAGGCCUUAGGGUUGUAAAGAUCUUUCAGGUGGGAAGAUAAUGACUGUACCACCAGAAGAAGCACCGGCUAACUACGUGCCAGCCGCCGCAGUAA
rnacentral:rRNA from 1 species